ensembl:lncRNA
GGAUGAGAGAUUGUGGCUCUGUGGUGACUCCAAUCAUUGAGGGUUUAUCAAUCAUUAAUGAAGACUUUGGGCCUUCUUUGAUAAAGCCUCUACAGCCCAUAGACUAGUGUCCGAUAGACAGAACUUCUUUCUUCUAUAAAGGAGCUGAAAACACCUGGGGGGCCUCAGAAAAUUAGGACUUCUGGGGCCUUGUUUCUUUCUUUUCUGGCCCCAUGCCUUCCAGGAGCACAGGGCAUGGUAAGCACCGAACACCUGCUCAGGGAACCAGUGCUCACCGGCUGUCUUCCUUCCCAACAGUAUAAAGAUUUCUAAUUUGUGGCCAUCUGGCAGGGGACCGGCCCUCCUCAUUCCUUCAUCACCACCAGUAGAGCAGGAAAACAAGCAUGGUUACCACAGCUGCCCCUGGGAGGAUGGAGACUGCAAGGGUCUGCAAGUCCUAAGGAAGGUGACAUGAAUACAGGAUGAACCACUGCCCAGGUGCAGCUGUUGGGAAAGGGCAUGAGGUCGGACUUCACAACAACACUAAUAAAAAUAAGCCACUAUUCUCAGGGGCUGGAGCUGCCCCCUGGCUUGUGCUCCUGAGCAUGCUCCUUGUUGGGUGUUGGGGUGGUAUCACACCCAACAAGGGUGUGUUGUCCCCACAGCAGGGCUGCAAGUUCGGGGCAGAGAAGAAUAAGACAGGAGACCUCAGAGAGGGGCCUGAAGCUUUCUUACCCACUUGUCUACAGAAUAUAGCCACA